GUGCUCUGUGGGCUUGUGCUGCAUUCCCAGGCUGCGUGUUGCUGACGGCGCUCCUGAUGCUGUUGCGUUUUUCUCCAGGAGGAUUAGACACUUCCUGAGUUACAUGUUGUCGGCCAUGAGGAGGGUUGUUUGCAUCUGAAUACUCUCAUGUUCAGAACAAGCAAUGAGAUGGGAGACUCUAUCAGAACUGGCCACUAAUUAACAGAAAUCACAGUAACUAUUGCAUAGAGGGAUCUUGUUAAAUCGAAAAGCGGAGUGAUCAGGGUGGCAAAGUGCUAAUUAAGCUCUGAAUGGAGGGGGGGGGGGGGGCUGCAUCAACAGAGCACAGGGAUGAUCCUUCGCUGUCUGUUUACAUCGCUGCAGUGCAUUCUGGGAGGUCACCCCACAACCUGGGGCAGGCAUACUGUUAUGCUGCUCCGGAAAAAAAAGAAAUUUCGUAAGACAGAUAGAAACAGCACUUCUAAAUCCCUUCGGCUCUACGUUUACGGACGCAGAUGCCUUUAUCUGUACUAAUGCCGUCAAUAUUUAAAGCAGGAAACUUUUAUUUCCAAGAACUGAAGCCUUUCCACAAUAAAAUAUGUGGACGGUGAGUUAUUUGUUGCUGCACCAGAAGCACAGAUUUUCUGUUACAUGAUGGAGGUUUCUUUUUGGUAAGAAAAGUCUCUUUAAUGUCCCAUUUUUUUCAGAAAUAUGAUAACUGAGUCUCUGAUUUUUCUGCUCCUCUAGUGGUUGAAAAGAGAUCUCAGAAAUAUCUCAAAUGGUACUCAGAUUUGACAAGAUGCCAAAGAUAAAAGAAAAAACCUCAG